UGAACUAGUGGUGAUGGCUUGUGGCAUAUUUAGUCACAGAUGAUGAAUAAAUACAUGCCUGAGACUCUGAGGUUAGU
rnacentral:snoRNA from 10 species